CUUGGCCCUGGUUCCUUCUGUUGGAUUGUCACAGGGUGUCUGUGAAAAGGACAGUGACAUGCACCAUUCUGUAGGAACCAUCAAAGAAGUUGUAUUUAGUGGCAUUUGCACUAUGGUCCUCCAGGCUUCAAUUCUCCCAUGAUGGCUGCCAACAUCAAUCUCUGAUAGGAGGGGAAGGACAAGAAGGAAGAAUCUCAUAAAAUUACAUGACUUAGCUGGAAUUCAGGAUAAAACAUUGUCACUCAUAAAGAGCAUGUGAACAUGGACAGCAAGUGAACCAA
rnacentral:lncRNA from 1 species